CGAGGAAAAGGAACCAACAGGGAUUGCCUCAGUAACGGCGAGUGAAGCGGCAAAAGCUCAAAUUUGAAAUCUAGCACCUUCGGUGUUCGAGUUGUAAUUUGAAGAUGGUAACCUUGGGUUUGGCUCUGUCUAUGUUCCUUGGAACAGGACGUCAUAGAGGGUGAGAAUCCCGUCUGAUGAGAUGCCCAUUCCUAUGUAAGGUGCUAUCGAAGAGUCGAGUUGUUUGGGAAUGCAGCUCUAAGUGGGUGGUAAAUUCCAUCUAAAGCUAAAUAUUGGCGAGAGACCGAUAGCGAACAAGUACAGUGAUGGAAAGAUGAAAAGAACUUUGAAAAGAGAGUGAAAAAGUACGUGAAAUUGUUGAAAGGGAAGGGCAUUAGAUCAGACUUGGUGUUUUACGAUUAUCUUCUCUUCUUGAGUUGUGCACUCGUAUUUCACUGGGCCAGCAUCGAUUCGGAUGGCAAGAUAAUGGCAGUUGAAUGUGGCUUCACUUCGGUGGAGUGUUAUAGCUUCUGCUGAUAUUGCCUGUCUGGAUCGAGGGCUGCGUCUUUGACUACUGCACUGCAGUA
rnacentral:rRNA from 1 species